AAAUUGAAGAGUUUGAUCAUGGCUCAGAUUGAACGCUGGCGGCAGGCCUAACACAUGCAAGUCGAACGGUAACAGGAAGCAGCUUGCUGCUUUGCUGACGAGUGGCGGACGGGUGAGUAAUGUCUGGGUAACUGCCUGAUGGAGGGGGAUAACUACUGGAAACGGUGGCUAAUACCGCAUAACGUCGCAAGA
rnacentral:rRNA from 1 species